GGCUCCAUAGUGCACUGGUUAGCACAUCUGCUUUACACACAUAAGGUCCUGGGUUCGCAUCCCAGGUGGAGCCA
rnacentral:tRNA from 1 species